UAUAAGGGAUUUUGAGUUUUUGCUUACAAUGUUUGACCACUCGUCUUAUUCAAAAUUUUUUGAAAUUAUUAUUUAUUUUAUUAUCUACGGUACUUUAAGCAAAACUUUUCAUUUUUAUCUUUGGAAAAAAAAUUAAAUAAGACGAGUGGUCAAACGUUGUAAGAAAAACUUAAAAUCCCUUAUA
rnacentral:pre_miRNA from 1 species